GACGAACGCUGGCGGCGUGCCUAAUACAUGCAAGUCGAACGCACAGUUUAUACCGUAGCUUGCUACACCAUAGACUGUGAGUUGCGAACGGGUGAGUAACGCGUAGGUAACCUGCCUGGUAGCGGGGGAUAACUAUUGGAAACGAUAGCUAAUACCGCAUAAUAUUAAUUAUUGCAUGAUAAUUAAUUGAAAGGUGCAAUUGCACCACUACCAGAUGGACCUGCGUUGUAUUAGCUAGUAGGUGAGGUAACGGCUCACCUAGGCGACGAUACAUAGCCGACCUGAGAGGGGGAUCGGCCACACUGGGACUGAGACACGGCCCAGACUCCUAAGGGAGGCAGCAGGAGGGAAUCUUCGGCAAUGGACGAAAGUCUGACCGAGCAACGCCGCGUGAGUGAAGAAGGGUUUCGGAUCGUAAAGCUCUGUUGUAAGAGAAGAACGGGUGUGAGAGUGGAAAGUUCACACUGUGACGGUAGCUUACCAGAAAGGGACGGCUAACUACGUG
rnacentral:rRNA from 1 species